rnacentral:lncRNA from 1 species
AGUCCCAGACCCAGGCCAACGUGGCCCUCCGUGGCAGGGAUGGUGGGGUCAGUGUGGACCUGGCAGCCCUGGUGGCUUGACCACCGCACGGCCUACUGCAGAUGGUGGCCAAUGCCAGCCACACAGUGCGUGCUCUUCAGAGGCUAGGUCUGCCCUUCUCCAGCCAGCUCGUGUUCCUAGGACUCUGGGCAGCAGAAGAGAUGAGCUCCUCGCUGCUGCUGACCUGCGAUUCUCAGGCCAGCUUGGUCAUUGACGUCCAUGGCCAGAACCAGGCAGUCAGCUACACUACUCCAACGGUGAGGUUCAGAGCACAUUUGCCUUGGGCAUGGAGGAGCAUCAUUUUCACAUCAACACCCAUCUGGUAGCUGCUAAGGCCAGUCUCACCAACUUCAUGAAGCUGGAACAUUCCUUCCUGCAGGUACAGCUCGCCUGGAACAGAGGACAGCCUGUGACUCUGCAGCUUGCCUGGGCCGACAGGUUCUCAGCACACAGCACCACCUGGGAUGGCUCCUGCCUCCCCGGGGCAGGUAUGUGGGGUCUGGCCGCUGUGCCCAGUGUGGGGCUCCCCUUUGCUCCAGGCUUCUCAGCUGCCCCCACUCCCCCGGGUCAUGUACCCUGUUCUCUUCCCUAUCAGCUCCAGGAAACUUUGGGCCUGGACCCCCUCCGGGCCUGCGGGGCCAUAACACAGACCCCAGACGUGUUCAUUGAACAGCUCGACCUGUCCUGGGGCCAGCAGCGCAUGCAGCAGAACUUGACAUACGAGAGGCAUCGGCCAUCUCAGCCAGACAAGAUCAUCAUGGAGGCCAUGCUGGAGCGCGUCCUCAGGGCCUCUUGUGCCUGGUAG